rnacentral:rRNA from 1 species
GACGAACGCUGGCGGCGUGCCUAAUACAUGCAAGUAGAACGCUGAAGGAGGAGCUUGCUUCUCCGGAUGAGUUGCGAACGGGUGAGUAACGCGUAGGUAACCUGCCUGGUAGCGGGGGAUAACUAUUGGAAACGAUAGCUAAUACCGCAUAACAGUAGAUAUCGCAUGAUAUCUGCUUGAAAGGUGCAAUUGCAUCACUACCAGAUGGACCUGCGUUGUAUUAGCUAGUUGGUGAGGUAACGGCUCACCAAGGCGACGAUACAUAGCCGACCUGAGAGGGUGAUCGGCCACACUGGGACUGAGACACGGCCCAGACUCCUACGGGAGGCAGCAGUGGGGAAUCUUCGGCAAUGGACGGAAGUCUGACCGAGCAACGCCGCGUGAGUGAAGAAGGUUUUCGGAUCGUAAAGCUCUGUUGUAAGAGAAGAACGAGUGUGAGAGUGGAAAGUUCACACUGUGACGGUAUCUUACCAGAAAGGGACGGCUAACUACGUG